AGAUUUUACUGAAUUGAAAUACACUGAUGCAUAUCUCCUACUAAUUCAGAGGGAUCAAUUCCAUCUUGACUCACACACUGACUUGAUAAGUACUUAACUACAUCCAGUAUUUUUUCAUGACUGAAUUAGAAACUCAGAUGAUCUGGCACUAAAGUAUAGUGAGUUGCUUACAAGUUACCGUGGUGAUCUCAGAUCGAGGGAUACUUAUACCCAUACCCUUCAUGAGCUACUCUUGACAGUAGAGUGCUCGGCAA
rnacentral:lncRNA from 1 species